GGGUUGUGAGGUUAAGCGACUAAGCGUACACGGUGGAUGCCCUGGCAGUCAGAGGCGAUGAAGGACGUGCUAAUCUGCGAUAAGCGUCGGUAAGGUGAUAUGAACCGUUAUAACCGGCGAUUUCCGAAUGGGGAAACCCAGUGUGUUUCGACACACUAUCAUUAACUGAAUCCAUAGGUUAAUGAGGCGAACCGGGGGAACUGAAACAUCUAAGUACCCCGAGGAAAAGAAAUCAACCGAGAUUCCCCCAGUAGCGGCGAGCGAACGGGGAGCAGCCCAGAGCCUGAAUCAGUGUGUGUGUUAGUGGAAGCGUCUGGAAAGGCGCGCGAUACAGGGUGACAGCCCCGUACACAAAAAUGCACAUACUGUGAGCUCGAUGAGUAGGGCGGGACACGUGGUAUCCUGUCUGAAUAUGGGGGGACCAUCCUCCAAGGCUAAAUACUCCUGACUGACCGAUAGUGAACCAGUACCGUGAGGGAAAGGCGAAAAGAACCCCGGCGAGGGGAGUGAAAAAGAACCUGAAACCGUGUACGUACAAGCAGUGGGAGCACGCUUAGGCGUGUGACUGCGUACCUUUUGUAUAAUGGGUCAGCGACUUAUAUUCUGUAGCAAGGUUAACCGAAUAGGGGAGCCGAAGGGAAACCGAGUCUUAACUGGGCGUUAAGUUGCAGGGUAUAGACCCGAAACCCGGUGAUCUAGCCAUGGGCAGGUUGAAGGUUGGGUAACACUAACUGGAGGACCGAACCGACUAAUGUUGAAAAAUUAGCGGAUGACUUGUGGCUGGGGGUGAAAGGCCAAUCAAACCGGGAGAUAGCUGGUUCUCCCCGAAAGCUAUUUAGGUAGCGCCUCGUGAAUUCAUCUCCGGGGGUAGAGCACUGUUUCGGCAAGGGGGUCAUCCCGACUUACCAACCCGAUGCAAACUGCGAAUACCGGAGAAUGUUAUCACGGGAGACACACGGCGGGUGCUAACGUCCGUCGUGAAGAGGGAAACAACCCAGACCGCCAGCUAAGGUCCCAAAGUCAUGGUUAAGUGGGAAACGAUGUGGGAAGGCCCAGACAGCCAGGAUGUUGGCUUAGAAGCAGCCAUCAUUUAAAGAAAGCGUAAUAGCUCACUGGUCGAGUCGGCCUGCGCGGAAGAUGUAACGGGGCUAAACCAUGCACCGAAGCUGCGGCAGCGACGCUGAUGCGUUGUUGGGUAGGGGAGCGUUCUGUAAGCCUGCGAAGGUGUGCUGUGAGGCAUGCUGGAGGUAUCAGAAGUGCGAAUGCUGACAUAAGUAACGAUAAAGCGGGUGAAAAGCCCGCUCGCCGGAAGACCAAGGGUUCCUGUCCAACGUUAAUCGGGGCAGGGUGAGUCGACCCCUAAGGCGAGGCCGAAAGGCGUAGUCGAUGGGAAACAGGUUAAUAUUCCUGUACUUGGUGUUACUGCGAAGGGGGGACGGAGAAGGCUAUGUUGGCCGGGCGACGGUUGUCCCGGUUUAAGCGUGUAGGCUGGUUUUCCAGGCAAAUCCGGAAAAUCAAGGCUGAGGCGUGAUGACGAGGCACUACGGUGCUGAAGCAACAAAUGCCCUGCUUCCAGGAAAAGCCUCUAAGCAUCAGGUAACAUCAAAUCGUACCCCAAACCGACACAGGUGGUCAGGUAGAGAAUACCAAGGCGCUUGAGAGAACUCGGGUGAAGGAACUAGGCAAAAUGGUGCCGUAACUUCGGGAGAAGGCACGCUGAUAUGUAGGUGAAGUCCCUCGCGGAUGGAGCUGAAAUCAGUCGAAGAUACCAGCUGGCUGCAACUGUUUAUUAAAAACACAGCACUGUGCAAACACGAAAGUGGACGUAUACGGUGUGACGCCUGCCCGGUGCCGGAAGGUUAAUUGAUGGGGUCAGCGCAAGCGAAGCUCUUGAUCGAAGCCCCGGUAAACGGCGGCCGUAACUAUAACGGUCCUAAGGUAGCGAAAUUCCUUGUCGGGUAAGUUCCGACCUGCACGAAUGGCGUAAUGAUGGCCAGGCUGUCUCCACCCGAGACUCAGUGAAAUUGAACUCGCUGUGAAGAUGCAGUGUACCCGCGGCAAGACGGAAAGACCCCGUGAACCUUUACUAUAGCUUGACACUGAACAUUGAGCCUUGAUGUGUAGGAUAGGUGGGAGGCUUUGAAGUGUGGACGCCAGUCUGCAUGGAGCCGACCUUGAAAUACCACCCUUUAAUGUUUGAUGUUCUAACGUUGACCCGUGAUCCGGGUUGCGGACAGUGUCUGGUGGGUAGUUUGACUGGGGCGGUCUCCUCCUAAAGAGUAACGGAGGAGCACGAAGGUUGGCUAAUCCUGGUCGGACAUCAGGAGGUUAGUGCAAUGGCAUAAGCCAGCUUGACUGCGAGCGUGACGGCGCGAGCAGGUGCGAAAGCAGGUCAUAGUGAUCCGGUGGUUCUGAAUGGAAGGGCCAUCGCUCAACGGAUAAAAGGUACUCCGGGGAUAACAGGCUGAUACCGCCCAAGAGUUCAUAUCGACGGCGGUGUUUGGCACCUCGAUGUCGGCUCAUCACAUCCUGGGGCUGAAGUAGGUCCCAAGGGUAUGGCUGUUCGCCAUUUAAAGUGGUACGCGAGCUGGGUUUAGAACGUCGUGAGACAGUUCGGUCCCUAUCUGCCGUGGGCGCUGGAGAACUGAGGGGGGCUGCUCCUAGUACGAGAGGACCGGAGUGGACGCAUCACUGGUGUUCGGGUUGUCAUGCCAAUGGCACUGCCCGGUAGCUAAAUGCGGAAGAGAUAAGUGCUGAAAGCAUCUAAGCACGAAACUUGCCCCGAGAUGAGUUCUCCCUGACUCCUUGAGAGUCCUGAAGGAACGUUGAAGACGACGACGUUGAUAGGCCGGGUGUGUAAGCGCAGCGAUGCGUUGAGCUAACCGGUACUAAUGAACCGUGAGGCUUAACCUUACAACGCCGAAGCUGUU
rnacentral:rRNA from 1 species